rnacentral:sRNA from 1 species
AAAAAGAUAUUUAUACUAUAUAACCAUAUCAGAUAUUCAAAGUUUUUUUUUAACAUGCUUUCAAAAUAAGUUCUAAAUACCAAACAUAACCGUUGUUGGUAUCACCGGUCAACAAACUGUUAUCAAACUAAUUCCAAAAACUAAAACCCGAUAGUUUUUAAUGCCAUUGAUCAAAACAUAACAUGAAAAAAAAUUGAUCAAACAAACAUCUUAACAUAAAAACAUAAAAUGACAACAAUACAUAAACUAUUUAUGAUAUU